rnacentral:rRNA from 1 species
CGGCGUGCUUAACACAUGCAAGUCGAACGAGAAAGUUUUCUUCGGAAAGCGAGUAGAGUGGCGCACGGGUGAGUAACGCGUAGGUAAUCUACCCUUAUGACUGGGAUAACAUUGGGAAACUGGUGCUAAUACCGGAUACACUUCUUUACUGCGGGGUAAAGGAGGAAAGGUGGCCUCUUCAUGAAAGCUACCGUAUAGGGAUGAGCCUGCGUACCAUUAGCUAGUAGGCGGGGUAACGGCCCACCUAGGCAACGAUGGUUAGCGGGUCUGAGAGGAUGAUCCGCCACACUGGAACUGGAACACGGACCAGACUCCUACGGGAGGCAGCAGUGAGGAAUAUUGCGCAAUGGGGGAAACCCUGACGCAGCGACGCCGCGUGAGUGAGGAAGGUUUUCGGAUCGUAAAGCUCUGUCAGAAGGGAAGAAAUGUUAUAUGGUUAAUACCCAUAUAAUUUGACGGUACCUUCAGAGGAAGCACCGGCUAACUCCGUGCCAGCAGCCGCGGUAAUACGGAGGGUGCAAGCGUUGUUCGGAAUUACUGGGCGUAAAGGGCGCGUAGGCGGCUGGAUAAGUCAGAUGUGAAAGUCCAUGGCUCAACUGUGGAAGUGCAUUUGAAACUGUCCGGCUUGAGUAUCGGAGGGGAGUGUGGAAUUCCCGGUGUAGAGGUGAAAUUCGUAGAGAUCGGGAGGAACACCGGUGGCGAAGGCGACACUCUGGACGAAUACUGACGCUGAGGCGCGAAAGCGUGGGGAGCAAACAGGAUUAGAUACCCUGGUAGUCCACGCCGUAAACGAUGUGAACUAGGGAUAGGGGGUGUUGAUCCCUCCUGUCCCGCAGCUAACGCAUUAAGUUCACCGCCUGGGGAGUACGGUCGCAAGAUUAAAACUCAAAGGAAUUGACGGGGGCCCGCACAAGCGGUGG